GUGGCUCACACAGAGCCAUUGUGGGGGGUUUCACAGAUCGCAACUAAAAGCACUUGUGUGGUUCAAGUACACAGAGACGGAUCAAUUCAAAUGACGGCGUUUUUGCUGCUGCGGACAGAACAAAAUGGGAAGGUGAAUGCUUGUGGCCUGACAGCUGCAAGGGGCUGCUAUAAAAAGAGAAGCCGCAUUUUAUUUGGCAUUGACGAUUUGGGGGCGGCGCGAUUCCUGGCCCUUUCCCUGUUUAUCCGGCAGCCCGCAACGAGCGGCCGGGGAGAGCUGAGAGAACGCAGAGCAGGAAAUGAAUAGCGACCUUCGCCGGGGCUGUCCCUGCCAAGUCCACGCUUCCUCAUCUCAUUUACUGUCUCUCUGGCCGCCAUGUGACAGCGCCGAAUAAACCUGGAGAAGGGGAGAACAACAACAACAACAAGAAGAACACUUCGACUUCCUCAGUAGAAGCACGA